CUUCAGCGAGCCCACGAACAGCGGCUCGUCGUCCGGCCGCCCCUGCCCGUAGGCGGCGAUCAGGGCCCGCGCCUC
rnacentral:antisense_RNA from 3 species